rnacentral:rRNA from 1 species
CUUCGGGCGCUGACGAGUGGCGGACGGGUGAGUAACGCGUAGGAAUCUGCCUUAUAGUGGGGGACAACGUGGGGAAACCCACGCUAAUACCGCAUACGCCCUACGGGGGAAAGGAGGGGAUCUUCGGACCGGUCGCUAUUGGAUGAGCCUGCGUAAGAUUAGCUAGUUGGUGGGGUAAAGGCCUACCAAGGCGACGAUCUUUAGCGGGUCUGAGAGGACGAUCCGCCACAUUGGGACUGAGACACGGCCCAGACUCC